AUUGAACGCUGGCGGCAGGCCUAACACAUGCAAGUCGAGCGGAUGAAGGGAGCUUGCUCCUGGAUUCAGCGGCGGACGGGUGAGUAAUGCCUAGGAAUCUGCCUGGUAGUGGGGGAUAACGUCCGGAAACGGGCCCUAAUCCCGCAUACGUCCUGAGGGGGAAGGGGGGGGUUCUUCGGACCUACCCCAAUCGGAUGACCCUAGGUCGGUUUAGCUAGUUGGUGGGGUAAAGGCCUACCAGGGCGACGAUCCGUAACUGUUCUGAGAGGAUGAUCAGUCACACUGGAACUGAGACACGGUCCAGACUCCUACGGGAGGCAGCAGUGGGGAAUAUUGGACAAUGGGCGAAAGCCUGAUCCAGCCAUGCCGCGUGUGUGAAGAAGGUCUUCGGAUUGUAAAGCACUUUAAGUUGGGAGGAAGGGCAGUAAGUUAAUACCUUGCUGUUUUGACGUUACCAACAGAAUAAGCACCGGCUAACUUCGUG
rnacentral:rRNA from 1 species